AAGUCGAACGGGUUACUGGAGUCAGCAAUGAUUUUAGUGACUAGUGGCAAACGGGUGAGUAACACAUUAGUAAUCUGCCCCGAAGUUCAGAAUAACGGUCCGAAAGGACCGCUAAUACUGGACGUGAUCCGCGGAUGAUGUCUGCGGAGGAAAGCCCAAAAGGCGCUUCGGGAGGAACUUAUGGCUUAUCAGCUAGUUGGCGGGGUAAUGGCCCACCAAGGCUAUGACGAGUAGCAGGCGUGAGAGCGCGACCUGCCUCAGUGGAACUGAGACACUGUCCACACUCCUACGGGAGGCUGCAGUCGAGAAUCUUCCUCAAUGGGCGAAAGCCUGAAGGAGCGACGCCGCGUGCGGGAUGAAGGGCUUCGGCCUGUAAACCGCUUUUAUUUGGGAAGAAGCGCAAGCUGACGGUACCAAAUGAAUAAGAGGUUGCUAACUCUGUGCCAGCAGCAGCGGUAAUACAGAGACCUCAAGCGUUAUCCGGAUUUAUUGGGCGUAAAGCGUCCGCAGGUGGUUCAUUAAGUCAUAGGUCAAAUCCCGGGGCUCAACCCCGUAACUGCCCAUGAUACUGAUGAACUCGAGGCCAGUAGAGGUAAGCGGAAUUACAGGUGUAGCGGUAAAAUGCGUUUAUAUCUGUAAGAACACCAAAGGCGAAAGCAGCUUACUGGAAUGGUCCUGACACUCAUGGACGAAAGCGUGGGGAGCGAAAAGGAUUAGAUACCCUUGUAGUCCACGCCCUAAACGAUGUGUGCUGGGUAUUGAAAGUAUCGACCCUUUCAGUGCCGUCA
rnacentral:rRNA from 1 species